GAGAACGUGGUGUAACUGGAUAACAUCUCAGAUUACGAAACUGUUCGCGUAGCGUGGCGUAGCCAAGAUUGAGAGUUCAAGUCUCUCCGUUCUCG
rfam:Calothrix sp. PCC 7507, complete genome.